GCCGUGGCAGCUGGAGAGCUGAAUUCUUAAUCAAAGCAGUGAUUGUGCUUUUAGGUGUGCGUGUGUGGCUAGGUUGCUGCCUUCUCACCUCCUUCAGCCUUUGGGUGCUGGCUUUGCAAACAGAGCCAGGCUGCAAUGGAAGCCUCUGGGACAAGCUGCACCCUGGAUGCAGGGUGGAAAAAGCAGAGGCUCUUUGCUCCUGCAGACCUCUGGGCCUGAGCAAUGCUCUGUGAGGAGAAGCAGGCACUGCUGCAGCACCUGGCAGGAGGGCAGCUGAGGAAACGCCUCUUGCUCCUGCUGCCCUUCCCCUCCUCCAAGUCCUCCUGCCCAUUCCUGGUGCGUGUGCGUAUUCUUUUUUAAGUGGCAAGCUGAAUAUUUUAAACAAACACUGCUUAAAAUCUAUAAUUUAUGGGCAAAGCUUCAGAAGAGGAGAUCAAUCACUGCCUGGUGCUGACGGUGGCUCUCCAUCUGCACAGCCUCCGCUGCUCUGCUCCCAGUCAACUGGCGAGGCAGGAGGGAUUUGCCUCGGGCAGAGCGACCGCUGAGCAGCACCCAGAGAAUUCCCACCUCACAAGGGAGAAAACCAGAUUGUCUUCCCUCGCUGGCAGGAGCAUCGCUGAGCCCUCUGCCAAGCACUUGCCCUGGGGAACUGUUGCAGGAUUGGAGCUGAAAGGCGCUGGUGGUCAAUGGGAGAUAGCAGGACCAUCUUUUAUUCAUGGCCGAGCGGCGCAGACGCCGCUGCUUGCUGCCUUCUUGGGAUGCUGGCAUUAAUAUUUCAUCCUGGAGCCAGCUCGUGCUGAAGAGCUCAUGUCCCAGGUACUCACCUCUUCCCGCUGAUCCGCUGCCCCUCCCCAUCCCUUUGCUUCUCCCCAGCUCACAUUCCCAAUUAAAUAUGGCAGCUUUGGCUGGGGGCUGCAGCGUUGUCCUUGGUGCACGGGGUGCCUCGCUGCUGCUGCAGUAAGGGGCUUUGUUUGGACACAGUGCAGCAGCGAAGGGGAGCGACCCCCAUUCUCCUGUCUCCGUUCCCAUUAGAGCAGGGCAAAUGGGAGCUGUAUUUCCAUUGCCAGAGGAG
rnacentral:lncRNA from 1 species